rnacentral:rRNA from 1 species
UACGUAGGGGGCUAGCGUUGUCCGGAAUCAUUGGGCGUAAAGAGCGUGUAGGCGGCCCGGUAAGUCCGCUGUGAAAGUCGGGGGCUCAACCCUCGAAUGCCGGUGGAUACUGUCGGGCUAGAGUGCAGAAGAGGCGAGUGGAAUUCCUGGUGUAGCGGUGAAAUGCGCAGAUAUCAGGAGGAACACCGAUUGCGAAGGCAGCUCGCUGGGACGUAACUGACGCUGAGACGCGAAAGCGUGGGGAGCAAACAGG